GACGGAAGGUGCAAGCGUUGCUCGGAAUCACUGGGCGUAAAGGGUGCGUAGGCGGCCCUAUAAGUCAGUGCUGAAAUAUCCCGGCUUAACCGGGAGGGUGGCAUUGAUACUGUAGGGCUUGAGUGUAGUCGAGGUAGGCGGAAUUGACGGUGUAGCGGUGAAAUGCUUAGAUAUCGUCAAGAACACCGAUAGUGUAGACAGCUUACUAGGCUACAACUGACGCUGAGGCACGAAAGUGUGGGGAUCAAACAGG
rnacentral:rRNA from 1 species